GAUCCUGCCAGUAGUCAUACGCUCGUCUCAAAGAUUAAGCCAUGCAUGUGUAAGUAUAAAUAAUUUUACUUUGAAACUGCGAAUGGCUCAUUAUAUCAGUUAUAGUUUAUUAGAAAUAUUUUACUACUUGGAUAACCGUAGUAAUUCUAGGGCUAAUACAUGAGUAAAACCUCAACUUCGGAAGAGGUGUGUUUAUUAGUAUGAAAACCAUAUAUCUUCGGAUAUAAUAGUGAGUAAUAAUAACCUUUCAUAUCGUAUGUCGUAAGAUAACGAUAGUUCUUUCAAGUUUCUGCCCUAUCAGCUUUCGAUGGUAGUAUAUGGGACUACCAUGGCAGUAACGGGUAACGAAGAAUUUGGGUUCGAUUUCGGAGAGGGAGCCUGAGAGAUGGCUACCACAUCCAAGGAAGGCAGCAGGCGCGUAAAUUACCCAAUCCUGACAUAGGGAGGUAGUGACAAUAAAUCACAAUGCGGAACUUUUAGUUUUGCAAUUGGAUUGAGAACAAUGUACAAAUGUUAUCGAUAAACAAUUGGAGGGCAAGUCUGGUGCCAGCAGCCGCGGUAAUUCCAGCUCCAAUAGCGUAUAUUAACGUUGUUGCAGU
rnacentral:rRNA from 1 species